UCAGGAUGAACGCUAGCGAUAGGCUAACACAUGCAAGUCGAGGGGCAGCACGGUGUAGCAAUACACUGGUGGCGACCGGCGUACGGGUGCGUAACACGUAUGCAACCUACCCGCUAUGGGGGAUAACCCGGCGAAAGUCGGACUAAUACCCCAUAUUAUUCUUACCGGGCAUCCGGUAGGUCUGAAAGAUUUAUCGAUUGCGGAUGGGCAUGCGGAUGAUUAGCUAGUAGGUGGGGUAACGGCUCACCUAGGCGACGAUCAUUAGGGGUUCUGAGAGGAAGGUCCCCCACACUGGAACUGAGACACGGUCCAGACUCCUACGGGAGGCAGCAGUGAGGAAUAUUGGUCAAUGGGCGCUAGCCUGAACCAGCCAAGUCGCGUGAAGGAUGACAGAAUCUAUGGUUUGUAAACUUCUUUUGCAGGGGAGUAAAGUGCGACACGUGUGUUGUAUUGCAAGUACCCUGCGAAUAAGCAUCGGCUAACUCCGUGCCAGCAGCUGC
rnacentral:rRNA from 1 species